UACAGAGGUCCCAAGCGUUGUUCGGAUUCACUGGGCGUAAAGGGUGCGUAGGCGGUCGGGUAAGUCUGACGUGAAAUCUUCAAGCUUAACUUGGAAACUGCGUCGGAUACUAUUCGGCUAGAGGAAUGGAGGGGAGACUGGAAUACUUGGUGUAGCAGUGAAAUGCGUAGAUAUCAAGUGGAACACCAGUGGCGAAGGCGAGUCCCUGGACAACACCUGACACUGAGGCACGAAAGCUAGGGGAGCAAACAGG
rnacentral:rRNA from 1 species